rnacentral:rRNA from 1 species
UACGGGGGGGGCAAGCGUUGUUCGGAAUUACUGGGCGUAAAGGGCUCGUAGGCGGCCAACUAAGUCGGACGUGAAAUCCCUCAGCUUAACCGGGGAACUGCGUCCGAUACUGGAUGGCUGGAGGUUGGGAGAGGGAUGCGGAAUUCCAGGUGUAGCGGUGAAAUGCGUAGAUAUCUGGAGGAACAUCGGUGGCGAAGGCGGCAUCCUGGACCAAUUCUGACGCUGAGGAGCGAAAGCCAGGGGAGCAAACGGG